UGUAUAUUCUAGACUCAAUUGUAACUCAUAGAACAACUCGCUGCUUUCAGAUUGUUACAUGGGCCUCUUUUCCUCUGAGUCGACUCUGAAGUAAACUAAACACAGCCCACUUCAAAGCAUAGAAACUGCUCUGCAGAGGUUAGCUGUGCCUUUACCAAAGGAAACAACUUUGUGAAUCAUAGUCCCAGGCAGCUUGCAAGCAGAUGGAGACUCCUGCUGCUUUUGGACUUGGGCCACAGAAGUGAGCGCACACAGUGGUCCUGGUUUGUUUGUGUCUUCUCUAAAUGGGGUGCUGAAGUCCAGAUGCAUAUUCUAAAGGACUGCCUUUAAAAACAGAGACAAAGAACUCUUACCAAGUCAAUACUCCAAAAGUGAUACUGAUUGUAGUUUAUGACGUAUCUGUUUCGAAUGUCUGUAGAUCUUCUCUUUAUUGCUAAUAAAAACAAUUAAAAAUGCUA